UGGCCUUCUGUGAUGGUAUAACUGCAUCAGUGGACAAAGAAAGAGCCACUGCAUCAUCUAUCUGUUCUUCAGUAAGGCCUUUGACACUGUCCACCACAAUAUCCUUCUCUCUAAACUGGAACGAUAUGGAUUUGACAGAUGCAUUGUUUCAUGGAUGAGGAACUGUUUGCAAGAUCGUACCCAGAGAGUGGUGGUCAAUGGCUUAACAUCUGGGUGGAGAUCAGUGACAGGUGGUGCUCCUCAGGGGUCAGCACUGGGACCGACGCUUUCAUAUCUUCAUCCAUGACACUGACAGAGGGAUUGAAUGCACCCUCAGCAAGGGAGCUGGACUAGAUGGCCUUUAAAGGUCCCUCCCAACUCAAACAAUUCUAUCAUUCCAUGACAUGUUCUGAGGGAAGAGGAGAGCAAGGCCAGCAUCCUGAGUUAUGCUUAUCUCAUCAGUAGAAAACUGUAUUUCAGUAAACAGAAGUAAAUAAAUGAGGAACAUCAGCACUCUCUGCCUGCAGAAGACAUGGUUGGAGAGACAGCUGCUCAGUGUAUUUAUCUAUUUAUGCUAAUUCUUCUUUCUCUACCAUUCCUCCACAGCUACUUUCAGAUACAUCUGUUGAUAAGACCCCUCUUCCUCCCUCUUCUUUCAGUUGUUGACUGUUUCUUUCCUUAGCCUUUUCAUUCCUCUAAUGCUUAAAAGAUGAUCCCUUCAUCUGCUUUAUAAUCCUUUCUAGUGACAGCUCAUUUUGUAUCUUGGCCUGCCUCUGUUUGUCUCUAUUCACUUAGACUCCAUCUUCUUGCUCAGUAAGUGACCCACAUCUCCAUCUUUUGGAUGAUUCCUUCAUCUUGAAAUCCAGUCACCAAGGAACUGGUCAUUCAGUCACUGAAGAACUGGCCAGGUUCAUCCUUAAAGCUGGCUUACUUACUGGGAUGAAACACAUCUAAGCACAAUCCAAUCUUUUGACAUCUCAUCUUAUUUAGGACAAGGAGCUCUGAUCUUGACAGUCAUUGCUACCCACCAUGAAGAUGGGAAAAGCAUGUUCUCCCCUUGUGACAGUAUCUAGGCUGCCUUUAACUUCAACCCUGCCCUCACUGCACAGCACUUUUCCUUCUUCAUGUUCACUUAGGCACUGCAACUUUUACGUGUUGUGAUUUCCUUUACGUCUUGCCACAGGUCUGUAAGUCUUGAUUUAUCCACACUCUUUCAAUUCUCACAGGCAUAACCUUCAGCAUGUUCUUUUUUCCAUUUCUUCAGUCUCUGUUCUUCCCCCACCACCCACUGUGAUUAAGUUGCCUGAAGCCUUCCCUGCAUCUUUCCCUCUCUUACAUGCAAAUUCCCACUUGCUUUUGUAUGCUAGACUUUAAAAUAUUCCAUGCUUUCCAUGCAAUUACAUUCCCGAGCUCUUUGUCCCAGCAGGCUUACCCAUGGGGUUUGGUUCUCUUCAAUGGCCUCUUUGGAAUGGAGGGCCUCCAUGCAAGAGCAGCUUCUGCUCAGUCCUUCUGCCUGUGGGCGCUGAGGAGAGGUCUUGUUAUACUCUCCAUCCCGACAGAAGGAAUGUAAGGUCAUACUUGGUUACACUGAAUGCUGAGUACAACUCUAAAAUUGCUUUUUCUGCAUGAGGUGAGGCAAGGGCAGAAACUGGAAACAUUUCACAUUUACUCUAGAAAAUGUGUAACAGAUGAGCUUAAAAAAAAAUAAAUCCACAGCAGUUCAGGUGACCUUCAGCUGGCAGAGGACACAAAGUCUUCCAAAUGCGAGGUCACUACAGCUAAACAUCUGAAAUUGUUUGUUUUCAAAUGC
ensembl:lncRNA